AUUGAACGCUGGCGGCAUGCCUUACACAUGCAAGUCGAACGGCAGCACGGGUGCUUGCACCUGGUGGCGAGUGGCGCACGGGUGAGUAAUACAUCGGAACAUGCCCUGUAGUGGGGGAUAGCCCGGCGAAAGCCGGAUUAAUACCGCAUACGAUCCACGGAUGAAAGCGGGGGACCUUCGGGCCUCGCGCUAUAGGGUUGGCCGAUGGCUGAUUAGCUAGUUGGUGGGGUAAAGGCCUACCAAGGCGACGAUCAGUAGCUGGUCUGAGAGGACGACCAGCCACACUGGGACUGAGACACGGCCCAGACUCCUACGGGAGGCAGCAGUGGGGAAUUUUGGACAAUGGGCGAAAGCCUGAUCCAGCAAUGCCGCGUGUGUGAAGAAGGCCUUCGGGUUGUAAAGCACUUUUGUCCGGAAAGAAAUCCUUGACUCUAAUACAGUCGGGGGAUGACGGUACCGGAAGAAUAAGCACCGGCUAACUACGUG
rnacentral:rRNA from 1 species